rnacentral:rRNA from 1 species
GGUAGUGGGGAUAACGUUCGGAAACGGACGCUAAUACCGCAUACGUCCUACGGGAGAAAGCAGGGGACCUUCGGGCCCUGCGCUAUCAGAUGAGCCUAGGUCGGAUUAGCUAGUUGGUGAGGUAAUGGCUCACCAAGGCGACGAUCCGUAACUGGUCUGAGAGGAUGAUCAGUCACACUGGAACUGAGACACGGUCCAGACUCCUACGGGAGGCAGCAGUGGGGAAUAUUGGACAAUGGGCGAAAGCCUGAUCCAGCCAUGCCGCGUGUGUGAAGAAGGUCUUCGGAUUGUAAAGCACUUUAAGUUGGGAGGAAGGGUUGUAGAUUAAUACUCUGCAAUUUUGACGUUACCGACAGAAUAAGCACCGGCUAACUCUGUGCCAGCAGCCGCGGUAAUACAGAGGGUGCAAGCGUUAAUCGGAAUUACUGGGCGUAAAGCGCGCGUAGGUGGUUUGUUAAGUUGGAUGUGAAAUCCCCGGGCUCAGCCUGGGAACUGCAUUCAAAACUGACUGACUAGAGUAUGGUAGAGGGUGGUGGAAUUUCCUGUGUAGCGGUGAAAUGCGUAGAUAUAGGAAGGAACACCAGUGGCGAAGGCGACCACCUGGACUAAUACUGACACUGAGGUGCGAAAGCGUGGGGAGCAAAC